GAUGAACGCUGGCGGCGUGCCUAAUACAUGCAAGUCGAACGAGGAACUUUAAUCUUCGGAUGAAAGUUUCCUAGCGGCGAACGGGUGAGUAACGCGUUGGUGACCUGCCCCAAAGUGGGGGAUAACAGUUCGAAAGGACUGCUAAUACCGCAUAAGAUCAAUGGGAUUAGAUGCCUAUUGAUUAAAGGCGAAAGUCGCUUUGGGAGGGGCCUGCGUCCCAUCAGCUUGUUGGUAGGGUAAUAGCCUACCAAGGCUAAGACGGGUAGGGGACCUGAGAGGGUGGCCCCCCACACUGGCACUGAAACACGGGCCAGACACCUACGGGUGGCAGCAGUAGGGAAUAUUGGACAAUGGGCGAAAGCCUGAUCCAGCAACGCCGCGUGCGCGAUGAAGGCCUUCGGGUUGUAAAGCGCUUUUAGGGGAGAUGAGAAAGGACAGUAUCCUCUGAAUAAGCCUCGGCGAACUACGUG
rnacentral:rRNA from 1 species